AGGAAACAAAUAAAGAAAAGAAGAAACAGAAAAGCCAUUUCGAAACAGACCAGGGAAUGGAGAAAAGAAAAGAAAGAAAAAUAAAGGGAAAAACUAGGGUUCUAAGGUUUGAAGCUUUAUUAGCUAAUAUCGCACCUGAGGCAUCCACGAAGAAAGGAAAAGAAAAAGUGGACGAGGAGUAGUAGACACGAGAAUCACGGUUAGUAGAAGUCAAAGGUCCCGGUUCAGUAUCCAGAUCAAUCCCGACUUCGGAGACAAUUUGGUGAUGUAAUCUCUCUUUUGGUAAAAGUGGCAUGUACUUAGGUAUUGUAUAAAUUAUAUACUUAAGUCUUGAGACUUUGGUUGUAAAAUGAUGUCUAAUAUGGGCUAUAAGUAUGAAAUGAAUUAGUAUGGCAUAUUUGGUAAAAUGUGGCAUGAAACUAAAAUGAGAAAUAUGUAUGAAAUUAUUAGUUCAAUUAAAAAGUUAUUUAUGAGUGAUCAAGUA